AAACAACAAGAGGAAAAGAUGAGAAUGAAAUAUGAAUUAGAAGAUCUAAGGUACUUACUGGACAACAAAAAUACAAAAGCAGUUCAUAAUUCUGUUUUGUCUGUUUUAUAUCAAAACCCUAGAUGACAAAAUUAUGGUGGGGGAUUUUGAGAAACUCACAGUAAGGAAAACAGUUUUUUAGUUCCAGUAAAACCCCACAAUGUUGGAAGUUUAUUUGAACCUUUCGACUAUCUUGCUCUAUCUUGCACAUGAACUAUCUUGCACCCUGGAUCCAUUCCAGUUGGGCUUCAGGCCACACCAUGGUACGGAAAUAGCAUUGGUUGCCCUGUUUGAUGACCUGCUGAGGGAGGCUGACAGGGGCAAAAUGUCUUUGUUGGUCCUCCUCAAUAUCUCAGCCGCCUUUGAUACUGUCGACCAUGGUAUUGUGGGAGGGAGUGUCCAUUUUCUGCUUCUAACGUCACUUCUCAUAGUUCCAGUUAAUUAUCAUUAUUAAAGAUCAAUGUUGCACUAAAUGCCAUAUUGGCAUUUUAUAUAAAGAAGUAUACUUAUUUCCUAGGGCUCAGUAUGAACAGCUUUUAGAAGAGGGGAGCAGUGAAUGUUUUGAUGAAAGGCGUGUUAAUCUUCUAAAGGCUCAAGUACUACAGCUGGAAAGGCAGGUAGUGCUACUUACAGAAGGAUUAAGUUCUCGAGCUGCUCUUAUGCUGGAAUUAAACACUUCUUUACAGACUAUUGCAGACAAGCUUAGCUCUUUCCUUAGCACUGAAGGAACCACCUCUGAAGUAAGCGUGCCCUGUGCAGAAAUUCGUCAAACAAUUGAGCGGUGCCAGACAAUGAGACUCAAACUACAAAGAAACCAGAAAGUUUCUGAUCUAUCAAGACUUGCAUUGCCUUGGACAUUGGGAGGAAACUUUGUUAUACAGCCAGUUACACUCCUGGAUGUUUGCUAUGGCAAAAUAGAAAAUUUAAAUCUUAGAUAUGUGAGCGCCCUUGAAGGGAAACUUAGCAAGCUGUGGAGACACCUGCUUGCCAUGAGGCAAAAUCUGAGUUUCAUGCUAGCCCCAGGACAGAUGUCCUCUGAGGCAGCUCAUCAUACCCUACCAACUGUUGUUUAUGCUCGGCUGAUAAAUCAUGCAGCUCAGUGUCAUCGGUCUGUGGAGGAAUGCUGCCGUGACUUGUUCACUUUGACACUUCUGGUACCUUCCGCACCUUGGGUGAUGAGGCCUUGUCAAAGUUUGGAAAAGAGUUCUUCCUGUCUUUGGAACGUGUUCUCAAAGCUUGUGGAGAGCAGCGGGAUAAAGCAGCCAGUGAAAUGGAGACCUUACAAACAGAACUUGAUCAAGCCUUAG
rnacentral:lncRNA from 1 species